ensembl:lncRNA
GAUACAACGACACAUAUCGGAUGACGAUAUGAAAAAGUCUAUCGUUUCAUAUUACGGCAAUAUUUUUUCAUCGUUUUUAUGGUCACUGUAGUAUUAAUUUCCAAACGGCGCCCCAUACUCUUUCGCUUAUAUUUAAUAUAACCACACUCCGGACGGACAAGCGACUGCUGUUAUGCGUUGUCGUUAGCAACAACGACGGUAAAACCAUACGCUGGGGCAAGAGGGGGAGAUUACCCACAAACUGAAUAUGGACAAGAUUUACUACGGCAGCGGAAGAAUCCGCUGGAAAAGGCACAAGAUAAAUGACAGGUUUCACGUCUCACCCCCUCAUUGCCUCCGUCCACUGCAGGCUCACACAGCACUCGGCAGAGAACUCCCCCGGAAACAUCCACGCAGCGCAUCUUGCUACCACCUUCAAGUUGUACUCAAGUUUAUAAAGAACCCAUGUCAAAGUAUUGUGGUUAAGUUAAAUCCAAUUUAUUAACCUACCUCUGAGAUGAAGUACAGUCUCUGUUAAUUUGAGUUUCCAUGAAACCGCGAUAAACAGGUAUUUGCGGGGGGUUUUAAAAUUACUAUAACCCUUUUUAGUUUAGUAAAUAUUGGCUAUAUUGAGAGGUCUUAUUUUAUUCUUACUUAAUUUUUCUAAUUUAUUUGAAUUAUGCCCUCCAAUUAAGAUAGAUUUUAUGUUGUUGGUAAAGAUCUGGAUGGUUAUUUCAUUUUAUUCUUCGGCUACGUCCACACGUACACGGGUAUUUUUGAAAACGGAGAUUUUCCGUUUUCGUUUUAAAAAAUAAUCCCGUCCACACGUAAACGCAGAAAUGAAGGAAAACGCUGCUAGGAACAUGCCAACGCAACAGGUGGCGAUAUAUUCCUAACCAUGUAGAAAUGUUGGCCAAUCAGAAGUCUAGAAGCCUCGGUAGGAAAUAGUAAACAAAGAUGGGGCAUAGAAGCAGAACCGAGUCCUAUGUGUGGAGGGACAGUAACUGUGUGUGUAUAUGUAAGCAUUUAAACACUGCAGAGAGUACAAUUAACAGUAUUGUAGAAAUUCAUUUCACCGAAACAAUAACGUGGCGCACAGUGUGACGUCAAAAAAGGCGCACACCUUUGACGCUGCGUUUUCUCCGUUUUUCUCGUCCACACGUAAAUGCAAAAACGGAGUUUUCGGAAAUAUCCACCCUGGCAGGCGUUUUUAAAAAUCUCCGUUUUCAGUGACCGAAAACGCCGUUUACGUGUGGACGAAAGGUGCAAACGCAUAGAAAAAUCUCCGUUUUCAAAGAUACCCGGCUUAUCACACAUUUGAUUUCCAUGUGUGACAACUGCAAGUGUCCAGAGUGAGGACAGACUGAGGGACCCACUGCUGCACAUCAUCUGUGAGGCUUUGCACCCCUGAUGAUCCACCAGGACAAACUCAGCAGAGUGUGAGGAAGAGGAGGAGGAAGAGCCAGCAGCAGCUGACAGAUGGAGAGAAUAGACAGACUGUUCCCUGUUUGUGAAGGACUGCUAGGAAAGUUUAACAUAACUAAUUGUCUGUCCUGAAUCAGUCUUAUUAGGUAAUGUUCAAAUAAUUUGAUCAUUCCAGUGUUUUCAGUGUGGGAGAAAGUACUCAGGGCCUUCAAGUUACACACUAUGAAAGGCAGCAACAAGUUUAAUAUUCAGAAACCUAAAGUAUGUAUCAGCAGCAGAAUGGAGCUAAAAAUAAAUGUUUGUUUCAGUUCUAUGAAGCUUUGAGUAUUUUGGAUUAGUAGUACUGCUGUGUUUGUUGCAUCAUAUUGCUGUAAUUGUUUAUAUGCUUUAUAUAUUCUGAGGUAAGUUGAUC